AAUUAAGACAAAUGGCCAAUCAACGAUCCAUCGUCUUGGUUACCGUGAGCAUUAGCUUCCUGGCUGGCAUGAGAACAUCGCAAUACAGACCUUACAGGAGAGCGACCAGGUCAACUCUUGGCAUCAAAGUGUCGCAGCUAGUUUCUGGUAUCAACGUUAACCGAGUGAGCUGCUGACUGAAGAGAGCAUCGUCCACAGUCAAUGAAUGGGUCGACCAUCUGUGAUCGUGAGUAAAGGUGAUGAUAUUGAAGAGAACGAGAGCUCCCACUCUGCUCAGAUUUCCAGAAAACAGCAGACGGGUUGGGAUGAGUUUUCCAGGUUUCCAGUGUUCAGACUCCAGUGUACAGUUCUGUUGUGGCAACAGAUCGGGC